UAGGGAAUAUUAGUUAAUGUGCGAAAGCGCGAACUAGCAACGCCGCGUGUGCGAUGAAGGUCUUCGGAUCGUAAAGCACUUUUCGAGAAGAUGAGGAAGGACAGUACUCUCGGAAUAAGUCUCGGCUAACUACGUGCCAGCAGCCGCGGUAAAACGUAGGAGGCAAGCGUUAUCCGGAUUUACUGGGCGUAAAGCGCGUGCAGGCGGUUUGGUAAGUUGGAUGUGAAAGCUCCCGGCUCAACUGGGAGAGGUCGUUCAAAACUACCAGACUUGAGAGCGGUAGAGAGGAGUGGAAUUCCGUGUGUAGUGGUGAAAUGCGUAGAUAUGCGGAGGAACACCAGUGGCGAAGGCGGCUGUCUGGACUGAUACUGACGCUCAGACGCGAAAGCUAGGGGAGCAAA
rnacentral:rRNA from 1 species